UACGAAGGGGGCUAGCGUUGUUCGGAUUUACUGGGCGUAAAGCGCACGUAGGCGGAUCGUUAAGUCGGGGGUGAAAUCCUGGAGCUCAACGUCCAGAACUGCCUUCGAUACUGGCGAUCUUGAGUCCGGAAGAGGUGAGUGGGAACUGCGAGUGUAGAGGUGAAAUUCGUAGAUAUUCGCAGGAACACCAGUGGCGAAGGCGGCUUACUGGUCCAUUACUGGACGCUGAGGGUGCGAAAGCGUGGGGAGCAACAGG
rnacentral:rRNA from 1 species